AGAAGCCCUAGACUCCUUAGACCAAAAAUCCGUCGUUUCCCUCACAAAAAAAACAACCUGGAGCCACCCUUCUUCAAAGCCAUCAAUGACUUUUUAAGAUAGCGAACACAACAAACCCGAUUUGCCGCCCGUUUUCCGCUGAGAUCCGCCGGAAAUCAGCCUCCCCAUCCUUUUCUCUUCAAUACCCCAGCAACGACCACCCCAAACGACCCAUCUUUAGCCUAGAAAACCAACGGCAACGGCUCAAACAAAUGACCCCUUCUCUUGAACAAAAAUGGCGGAAGCCCAGGCUCCUCUCCUUCUUCAUUCUCACAUCUGACUCCUCACCAUCCCUCACUUCUCUGAAAAAUGCACACACUCGACCACGUACAUAUGAAACAGCUAAGAAAAAGAGCUUGAAACUUGAAAAAUCUGAGAUUCGGUAACCAAAUGUGAAGAACUCUGAAACGGAGAAGGAAAAGCAAUAGAAUUCUUGGUGGAUUUUAUAUUCAAAAUAAUUUGAGAGUUGUAGCUGUUUUGAAGCUACAAUUUCACUUGUAUUUCUAGAUUUUCAAAGUGGAUUCAAUGGUGAUUUACUGCUUGUUCGUAGUUGUUUCUUCAAUUUGAAGCCGUGGGUGGUUCUCCGCAUUUAUUUGCUAUGUUUAUGACCUUAUUAUCGCUAUCAAGGUCCUGAUAGGCAGGUAGACGCAGCUCCCCCACGAUAGUAGGCUGCUCAGUUCAUCAGUUAUUGGCAAGAUCCCUUCUCAGGACUUGCCGUGGUCUUGGUAUGCAUUUUUAUUAUAGACAUUAUGGGUAUGUCGGGGCCCUGUUCCGGCAAUGUUGCAGCACUUAUGUUCCUUUAGAGGCUCAUUGACAGGUGCCGACUUAUGUAUAGUUUGGAUUGCCUUGUCGACUGAUUUUUGUUGUAUAGUCUCUCAUGGCAGCUUGUCAGCUCGUACCUAAUAUAUAGCUUCAUAACA